UAGGGCGGGACACGUGGUAUCCUGUCUGAAUAUGGGGGGACCAUCCUCCAAGGCUAAAUACUCCUGACUGACCGAUAGUGAACCAGUACCGUGAGGGAAAGGCGAAAAGAACCCCGGCGAGGGGAGUGAAAAAGAACCUGAAACCGUGUACGUACAAGCAGUGGGAGCACGCUUAGGCGUGUGACUGCGUACCUUUUGUAUAAUGGGUCAGCGACUUAUAUUCUGUAGCAAGGUUAACCGAAUAGGGGAGCCGAAGGGAAACCGAGUCUUAACUGGGCGUUAAGUUGCAGGGUAUAGACCCGAAACCCGGUGAUCUAGCCAUGGGCAGGUUGAAGGUUGGGUAACACUAACUGGAGGACCGAACCGACUAAUGUUGAAAAAUUAGCGGAUGACUUGUGGCUGGGGGUGAAAGGCCAAUCAAACCGGGAGAUAGCUGGUUCUCCCCGAAAGCUAUUUAGGUAGCGCCUCGUGAAUUCAUCUCCGGGGGUAGAGCACUGUUUCGGCAAGGGGGUCAUCCCGACUUACCAACCCGAUGCAAACUGCGAAUACCGGAGAAUGUUAUCACGGGAGACACACGGCGGGUGCUAACGUCCGUCGUGAAGAGGGAAACAACCCAGACCGCCAGCUAAGGUCCCAAAGUCAUGGUUAAGUGGGAAACGAUGUGGGAAGGCCCAGACAGCCAGGAUGUUGGCUUAGAAGCAGCCAUCAUUUAAAGAAAGCGUAAUAGCUCACUGGUCGAGUCGGCCUGCGCGGAAGAUGUAACGGGGCUAAACCAUGCACCGAAGCUGCGGCAGCGACGCUGAUGCGUUGUUGGGUAGGGGAGCGUUCUGUAAGCCUGCGAAGGUGUGCUGUGAGGCAUGCUGGAGGUAUCAGAAGUGCGAAUGCUGACAUAAGUAACGAUAAAGCGGGUGAAAAGCCCGCUCGCCGGAAGACCAAGGGUUCCUGUCCAACGUUAAUCGGGGCAGGGUGAGUCGACCCCUAAGGCGAGGCCGAAAGGCGUAGUCGAUGGGAAACAGGUUAAUAUUCCUGUACUUGGUGUUACUGCGAAGGGGGGACGGAGAAGGCUAUGUUGGCCGGGCGACGGUUGUCCCGGUUUAAGCGUGUAGGCUGGUUUUCCAGGCAAAUCCGGAAAAUCAAGGCUGAGGCGUGAUGACGAGGCACUACGGUGCUGAAGCAACAAAUGCCCUGCUUCCAGGAAAAGCCUCUAAGCAUCAGGUAACAUCAAAUCGUACCCCAAACCGACACAGGUGGUCAGGUAGAGAAUACCAAGGCGCUUGAGAGAACUCGGGUGAAGGAACUAGGCAAAAUGGUGCCGUAACUUCGGGAGAAGG
rnacentral:rRNA from 1 species